GUGCCAGCAGCCGCGGUAAUACAGAGGGUGCGAGCGUUAAUCGGAAUUACUGGGCGUAAAGGGUGCGUAGGUGGUUUUGUAAGUAACAUGUGAAAGUCCUGGGCUUAACCUGGGGACUGCGUGUUAAACUGCAGAGCUAGAGUGUUGUAGAGGAUAGCGGAAUUUCCGGUGUAGCGGUGAAAUGCGUAGAUAUCGGAAGGAACAUCAGUGGCGAAGGCGGCUAUCUGGACAACAACUGACACUGAGGCACGAAAGCGUGGGGAGCAAACAGGAUUAGAUACCCUUGUAGUCC
rnacentral:rRNA from 1 species